CUCCAUUUCUAAAAAGAAUGCCAAGCAACUUUUAUUCUUUAGAAGUAAUAUCUCCUAAAUUUUUUAAAAUUAUCCUAUAAAAUAAUACAUAUAAGAUCAAAAUUUAAGCUAAUCGAUCUAUAAAUACUUGAUAUAGAACAAACACUCUCAAAUCCUAAAGUAAGAAAGUAUCGGUUCAUGCUUAGUCCAUAUCUCAUAUGGAGUUAUUACGACUGAUUAAUUCAAAAUCUAGUUCAGAACAUAACAAAUAGUCUUAAAAGCAUAACCUUAGAAGGAGACUGACAGACUUGUAAAUUCCAUCAU
rnacentral:lncRNA from 1 species